rnacentral:rRNA from 1 species
UACGAAGGGGGCUAGCGUUGCUCGGAAUUACUGGGCGUAAAGGGCGCGUAGGCGGCCGUUUGCGUCGGAUGUGAAAGCCCGGGGCUCAACCUCGGAACGGCAUUCGAUACGGGACGGCUGGAGACCGGGAGAGGAGAGUGGAAUAGCCAGUGUAGAGGUGAAAUUCGUAGAUAUUGGCUGGAACGACCGGUGGCGAAAGCGGCUCCUCUGGCCGGUUCUGACGCUGAGGCGCGAAAGCCGUGGGGAGCAAACAGG